rnacentral:misc_RNA from 1 species
AGUGCAAGAGCUCUUCCUUGCUAGCUAACGAGCUUUAGUUAUCUUAUCCUUGAAUGGACUGCACCAAAUAGACAAAACAGAAGAGUCAAGACUGAAAACCAAUCGAACAAAAACAGAGAUGACAUCGUUGGCUCAGCAUUUCACAGGCCUCAGAUGCCCACCGCUCUCAACUUCUCGCCUCUCCAAUCGACCUUCCCUAUUAUCUUCUCCUAAGCCCAGAAAGUUGCCUUUUGUAGUAUCUGCGGUGGCAAUAUCAAAUGCCCAGACCAAGGAGAGACAAAAGCUCAAACAGCUCUUCGAAGAAGCUUACGAACGCUGUCGUACUGCCCCUAUGGAAGGCGUUGCCUUCACUCUCGAUGAUUUUCACUCUGCUCUUGAUAAGUAUGAUUUCAAUUCCGAGAUUGGUACCACGGUCAAGGGCACAGUUUUCAUGACUGAUGCCAAUGGUGCAUUAGUUGACAUUACUGCAAAAUCUUCUGCGUAUUUACUAGUCCAAGAAGCAUGCAUUCACAAGAUAAAACACGUAGAAGAAGCUGGUAUAGUUCCUGGAUUGACAGAGGAGUUUGUUAUUAUUGGUGAAAAUGAAGCUGAUGAUAGUUUAGUCUUGAGCUUAAGGGCAAUUCAGUAUGACCUUGCCUGGGAAAGGUGUAGUCAGCUUCAAGCUGAGGAUGUUAUUGUGAAGGGUAAGGUGGGUACUUUUUCACAUCUAAGAAAUGUACUUACAAUCCUAUAUAUGUUGCAAUUUCCCUCUCUCAUGCAGUCAUGCUGGAUGUUGUAAGUUAUGAACGUUCCAUCCGAUAAGGAGGGGUGCCAUUCUAUUGUUAGUUCUUUUAGUUAUGCCAUUUGAAAUUUGGAUUACAAUGUAGGUUGUUGGUGCAAACAAAGGUGGAGUGGUUGCUCUAGUGGAGGGCCUCCGAGUAUUUGUCCCUUUCUCUCAGUUAUCAUCGAAAUCAACUGCAGAAGAACUUCUUGACAAGGAACUUCCACUGAAAUUUGUUGAUGUUGAUGAGGAACAGUCUAGGCUAGUACUCAGUAACCGCAAGGCCAUGGCAGACAGUCAGGCACAGCUGGGUAUCGGAUCGGUGGUCAUUGGAACUGUUCAGAGCCUGAAACCAUAUGGUGCAUUCAUUGACAUUGGUGGAAUCAAUGGCCUUCUUCAUGUCAGUCAGAUUAGUCAUGAUCGGGUCUCUGAUAUUGCAACAGUUCUUCAACCUGGUGAUAUUCUCAAGGUCAUGAUACUGAGCCAUGACCGUGAGAGAGGUAGAGUAAGUCUUUCUACCAAAAAGUUAGAACCUACUCCUGGUGAUAUGAUUCGCAAUCCAAAGCUUGUUUUCGAGAAGGCAGAGGAGAUGGCUCAGACAUUCAGGCAGAGAAUUGCUCAAGCAGAAGCUAUGGCUCGUGCAGACAUGCUGAGAUUCCAGCCUGAGAGUGGACUAACUCUGAGCUCUGAUGGGAUCUUGGGUCCGUUAACGUCGGACAUGCCAGCAGAGGGUUUAGACUUGAGUUAUGUUCCCACAGCAGAGGAUUGAUGAUUGAGCUUGCAAUACUUUCGUCCCUGGUCAUUGAUUUGGUCAGUAAAAUUAAAAUUGUACAAAUGGCUUCAUUUGAGCCUGGGCUAUAAAGUUACCAUUGUAUUCCAUUUGAUUUUA